rfam:Anopheles culicifacies strain species A-37_1 cont1.21399, whole genome shotgun sequence.
ACUAAAUGUUUUCUUUUCUUCUUUUUUACAUGCUUUCUACUAUCAUUUUACGCACCACUGCGAUGACGUUGCGCCAGGAUGUCUGUAUCGGCUCGGGGAGGGGUUUAGUGGGUAAGGCAUCGAUCGUAUCACAUGUAUCGAGUGGUCGCGAACGAUGAAUCCCACACUACCCAGACCCGGGUGUCUUUAGAAGAUUCCCCUCCCCGUCAAAA